GGACCCACUCCAGCGGUACGUUUUCAAGAAUUAGAACGAUACAGAGAAGAUUAACAUGGCCCCUGCGCAUGGGUUGCACUCAUAAUGAUAAAUAAUAUCUACAAGAAA